rnacentral:tRNA from 1 species
GACCUCUUGGUCAAGCGGUUAAGACACCGCCCUUUCACGGCGGUAACAGGGGUUCGAGUCCCCUAGAGGUCACCA